UUGACCUCGGAUCAGGUAGGGAUACCCGCUGAACUUAAGCAUAUCAAUAAGCGGAGGAAAAGAAACCAACAGGGAUUGCCUCAGUAACGGCGAGUGAAGCGGCAAGAGCUCAAAUUUGAAAGCUGGCUCCUUCGGGGUCCGCAUUGUAAUUUGCAGAGGAUGCUUCGGGAGUGGCCCCCAUCUAAGUGCCCUGGAACGGGCCGUCAUAGAGGGUGAGAAUCCCGUCUGGGAUGGGGUGUCCACGCCCGUGUGAAGCUCCUUCGACGAGUCGAGUUGUUUGGGAAUGCAGCUCUAAAUGGGUGGUAAAUUUCAUCUAAAGCUAAAUACUGGCCGGAGACCGAUAGCGCACAAGUAGAGUGAUCGAAAGAUGAAAAGCACUUUGAAAAGAGAGUUAAACAGCACGUGAAAUUGUUGAAAGGGAAGCGCUUGCGACCAGACUCGCCCACGGGGUUCAGCCGGCAUUCGUGCCGGUGUACUUCCCCGCGGGCGGGCCAGCGUCGGUUUGGGCGGCCGGUCAAAGGCCCUCGGAAUGUAACGCCCCCCGGGGCGUCUUAUAGCCGAGGGUGCCAUGCGGCCAGCCCGGACCGAGGAACGCGCUUCGGCUCGGACGCUGGCAUAAUGGUCGUAAGCGACCCGUCUUGAAACACGGACCAAGGAGUCUAACAUCUACGCGAGUGUUCGGGUGUCAAACCCGUGCGCGCAGUGAAAGCGAACGGAGGUGGGAACCCCUCGGGGUGCACCAUCGACCGAUCCUGAUGUCUUCGGAUGGAUUUGAGUAAGAGCGUAGCUGUUGGGACCCGAAAGAUGGUGAACUAUGCCUGAAUAGGGCGAAGCCAGAGGAAACUCUGGUGGAGGCUCGCAGCGGUUCUGACGUGCAAAUCGAUCGUCAAAUUUGGGUAUAGGGGCGAAAGACUA
rnacentral:rRNA from 1 species